UAGGGAAUCUUCGGCAAUGGACGGAAGUCUGACCGAGCAACGCCGCGUGAGUGAAGAAGGUUUUCGGAUCGUAAAGCUCUGUUGUAAGAGAAGAACGAGUGUGAGAGUGGAAAGUUCACACUGUGACGGUAUCUUACCAGAAAGGGACGGCUAACUACGUGCCAGCAGCCGCGGUAAUACGUAGGUCCCGAGCGUUGUCCGGAUUUAUUGGGCGUAAAGCGAGCGCAGGCGGUUAGAUAAGUCUGAAGUUAAAGGCUGUGGCUUAACCAUAGUACGCUUUGGAAACUGUUUAACUUGAGUGCAAGAGGGGAGAGUGGAAUUCCAUGUGUAGCGGUGAAAUGCGUAGAUAUAUGGAGGAACACCGGUGGCGAAAGCGGCUCUCUGGCUUGUAACUGACGCUGAGGCUCGAAAGCGUGGGGAGCAAACAGGAUUAGAUACCCUGGUAGUCCACGCCGUAAACGAUGAGUGCUAGGUGUUAGACCCUUUCCGGGGUUUAGUGCCGUAGCUAACGCAUUAAGCACUCCGCCUGGGGAGUACGACCGCAAGGU
rnacentral:rRNA from 1 species